ACGCUAGCUACAGGCUUAACACAUGCAAGUCGAGGGCAGCGGGUUGAAAGCUUGCUUUCAAUGCCGGCGACCGGCGCACGGGUGCGUAACGCGUAUCAAACCUGCCUCAUACUCGGGGAUAGCCUUGCGAAAGUAAGAUUAAUACCCGAUGUUGUUGCUUUCUCGCAUGGGAGAGUAACCAAAGAUUUAUCGGUAUGAGAUGGUGAUGCGUCCGAUUAGGUAGUAGGCGGGGUAACGGCCCACCUAGCCUUCGAUCGGUAGGGGUUCUGAGAGGAAGGUCCCCCACACUGGAACUGAGACACGGUCCAGACUCCUACGGGAGGCAGCAGUGAGGAAUAUUGGUCAAUGGGUGAGAGCCUGAACCAGCCAAGUAGCGUGCAGGAUGACGGCCCUCCGGGUUGUAAACUGCUUUUAGUUGGGAAUAAAAAAAGGGACUUGUCCCUUCUUGUAUGUACCUUCAGAAAAAGGACCGGCUAAUUCCGUGCCAGCAGCCGCGGUAAUACGGAAGGUCCAGGCGUUAUCCGGAUUUAUUGGGUUUAAAGGGAGCGUAGGCGGAUUGUUAAGUCAGCGGUUAAAGGGUGUGGCUCAACCAUGCAUUGCCGUUGAAACUGGCGAUCUUGAGUGCAGACAGGGAUGCCGGAAUUCGUGGUGUAGCGGUGAAAUGCUUAGAUAUCACGAAGAACUCCGAUCGCGAAGGCAGGUGUCCGGGCUGCAACUGACGCUGAGGCUCGAAAGUGUGGGUAUCAAACAGGAUUAGAUACCCUGGUAGUCCACACAGUAAACGAUGUAUACUCGCGGUUUGCGAUAGAUUGUAAGCCGCCAAGCGAAAGCAUUAAGUAUACCACCUGGGGAGUACGCCGGCAACGGUGAAACUCAAAGGAAUUGACGGGGGCCCGCACAAGCGGAGGA
rnacentral:rRNA from 1 species